UGGAAAUCAUGAGAAAUGGGCGUCUAGUA
rnacentral:piRNA from 1 species